UGAAAUCGAAAUGCGGGUAUAUUUUCUCCGUUCCAACGACUACAUUUGUCUCUGGACUCACUCCUGUUCUUCAAUCCCUAGCUCCCCUCCUUAAUUACCUUCAUGGCUUUAUCAGACCCAACCCUACUCGCUCUCUCGCUCUAAUUCUUGCGCACAUGAAACGCGAUCUUGAGAGAGAAGCAUCUGUCUCAGAAAACGGGCGAACCCUAGUUCGUGAAGCAUAAAUGGUCCAAAGAGAGCGCCUCUCAUUGUGGAGUGAAGG
rnacentral:lncRNA from 1 species